rnacentral:rRNA from 1 species
UACGGAGGAUGCGAGCGUUAUCCGGAUUUAUUGGGUUUAAAGGGUGCGCAGGCGGUCUGUUAAGUCAGCGGUCAAAGCCCGGGGCUCAACCCCGGCCCGCCGUUGAAACUGGCAGUCUCGAGUUGGAGAGAAGUAUGCGGAAUGCGCGGUGUAGCGGUGAAAUGCGUAGAUAUCGCGCAGAACUCCGAUUGCGAAGGCAGCAUGCCGGCUCCACACUGACGCUGAGGCACGAAAGCGUGGGUAUCGAACAGG